rnacentral:lncRNA from 1 species
CUCUGUUAAGAGGUUGAUACACUCUGAGAUGACAUAGAUAGCAUUCUGACUAGUGGCUGAUGCUUAAAGUAAUAAGAUGUGCUAUGCCCAGAGAGGGAACAUUUUAAAAGUUGUGCUGUAGGACCUUCUAGCGUCAUGAAGAGCACGUGUGAAGGGUUAGCCAGUAAAGGAGACCUAGAGGGGACAUCCAGGAAGGAGAGGCUGGACACUUGAGGGCAUUUUCAGAAGGAGUUUCCAAGGAGCUGUGUCCAGGUGCUGGUGGACUGGGUGAGGCAAGGAGCAAUGGAUUCUGGGAUCUGAGCCAUCUGGGUCACCGGUUAGUGGGGUGGUUUGGUCUGGUGGCUGUGAUGGUGCUGGCAGGAGUGAUGGAGACAAUUGGGAACCGCUGUGAACAGCUUUGCUGCAGGAAGAGCAUAAUUUGUGGUGCAAAGGUCAGAAGAGUUAUUUAUUUUUAGUUGGAAACAGUUUCCACGGUCUGUGUGCCAGUGUGAGUGACCGAGUCUAAUGACAUCAUGCGUAUCGAGCUCAGAGGCUGCUGCAGCCACUCUUGUCUUUGGCUUAGAAGGUACAGGGGCUUGCCACAUGAAGGCUGUGUAGUAGAUACGUAGCUAUGACAAAGUAAUGGGAAGAAAAAAAAAUCGACCAGCCUGCAGCUAUGUUUCUUUGAGAUCUAAGAGAAUAGUUCACCUGCUUUGAUGGUUAAUGCUGACUGUCAACUUGGCGGGAUCUAGAGUCACCUGUGAGGGAGCUUUUAGGUUGGGUUAAUUGAGACAGGUAAGCUAAUCCUAAAGGACGGAUGACAUCAUUCAACAGGCUGAGGUCUUAAACUGAACGAAAAGGAGAAAGCUGAUUGGACACCAGCAUUCAUCCCUCUCUGCUUCCAGACUGCUAAUGCAGUGUGGCUAGCUGCCUCACGUUCCUGCUGCAGUGAGCUGGACUAGACCAACGUGGCCCAGCUGGGGAGUCGCAGGCACACUGUAGGCUGUGAAUUGAGGCUCUGUUUGGCUAGACAGAGAGGGACAAUAUGCGAGAGUGUGAGGCUGCUGGCAUGCAGGAGAGUUGAGGAGUCGGCUCACGGUGGGGGCUGAGAGCCUGCAGUGAGACCAGAAGAACUGAGGCUGGUGGUGGGGCCUGAGGGAGGUCCGUCCAUACCUUGGGAAUCAGGGACUUAGAGGAGGUCAGCAUGGGCACCUGUGGCCUUCUGAGUGAUGAGGGACUCUUUGGGUGUUUGUAGAAAUCAAAAAUCUCUAGAGUACUUUCUCCCAUCCCCAGAAAUGGAGGCAUUCUUCUGCCUUGCAUUUUCUUUGUCUGUUUUAAAAAAAUGGUCUGCUUGGGGCAUCUUCCUGUGCUCACCCACCACACACCCCUGUGACCCUCUCACUCUUUUAAGGACAGUGGGACUGAUAACUGAUGUGUCACUGAUGCCUUUCUGGAUCCAGUACCAUGGCCAGGUGCAUGGCGGCAUCAAAGGUGACUGGCUUUUCACGUGAUACUCCUGCUGCCCAUUUUGUCCUUGGAAUGUAGUGUUGUAAGCUUUUAUCUUCUCAUUAACACUGAUAGGGUCAUUGCAGCCCUGUCUGCGAGGCACUUAUGGACCAGAAGCAGACUCUUCCAGCUGUGGGGAUCACCAUCAGGGAGCAGGCCAGAAACCUUUCCAAGGCUGAGUGCAUUCUGCACUUUGUCCAGCAUCCAUCCGCCCACACCUUCCUCCUAGGACAUUUGCUUGGGAAUCUGUCUCAGAUUCCAAAAAGUAUGGAAUAGCUUC